rnacentral:rRNA from 1 species
UGGGGAAUAUUGGACAAUGGGCGCAAGCCUGAUCCAGCCAUGCCGCGUGAGUGAUGAAGGCCUUAGGGUUGUAAAGCUCUUUCGUCGGGGAAGAUAAUGACGGUACCCGAAGAAGAAGCCCCGGCUAACUUCGUGCCAGCAGCCGCGGUAAUACGAAGGGGGCUAGCGUUGCUCGGAAUCACUGGGCGUAAAGCGCACGUAGGCGGACUCUUAAGUCAGGGGUGAAAUCCUGGAGCUCAACUCCAGAACUGCCUUUGAUACUGGGAGUCUUGAGUCCGGAAGAGGUAAGUGGAACUGCGAGUGUAGAGGUGAAAUUCGUAGAUAUUCGCAAGAACACCAGUGGCGAAGGCGGCUUACUGGUCCGGAACUGACGCUGAGGUGCGAAAGCGUGGGGAGCAAACAG